UCCUCCCUCUUUCUUCGUGCUUAACACAUGCAAGUCGAACGGAAAGGCCCUGCUUUUGUGGGGUGCUCGAGUGGCGAACGGGUGAGUAACACGUGAGUAACCUGCCCUUGACUUUGGGAUAACUUCAGGAAACUGGGGCUAAUACCGGAUAGGAGCUCCUGCUGCAAGGUGGGGGUUGGAAAGUUUCGGCGGUUGGGGAUGGACUCGCGGCUUAUCAGCUUGUUGGUGGGGUAGUGGCUUACCAAGGCUUUGACGGGUAGCCGGCCUGAGAGGGUGACCGGCCACAUUGGGACUGAGAUACGGCCCAGACUCCUACGGGAGGCAGCAGUGGGGAAUAUUGCACAAUGGGCGGAAGCCUGAUGCAGCAACGCCGCGUGCGGGAUGACGGCCUUCGGGUUGUAAACCGCUUUCGCCUGUGACGAAGCGUGAGUGACGGUAAUGGGUAAAGAAGCACCGGCUAACUACGUG
rnacentral:rRNA from 1 species